GAACGAGAAAGUGGAGCAAUCCAUGAGUAAAGUGGCGACCGGGUGAGUAACACGUGACUAACCUGCCUUCGAGUGGGGGAUAACCUCGGGAAACCGGGGCUAAUACCGCAUAAUGCCGAGAGGUUAAAGGAGCAAUUCGCUUGAAGAGGGGGUCGCGGCUGAUUAGCUAGUUGGCGGGGUAACGGCCCACCAAGGCGAUGAUCGGUAGCCGGCCUGAGAGGGCGCACGGCCACACUGGAACUGAAACACGGUCCAGACUCCUACGGGAGGCAGCAGUGGGGAAUUUUGCGCAAUGGGGGAAACCCUGACGCAGCAACGCCGCGUGGAGGAUGAAGUCCCUUGGGACGUAAACUCCUUUCGACCCGGACGAUUAUGACGGUACGGGUGGAAGAAGCACCGGCUAACUCUGUG
rnacentral:rRNA from 1 species